GUGCAGCAGUCGCGAAACCUCCGCAAUACACGAAAGUGUGACGGGGCCAUCCCGAGUGCCGUCCGCUGAGGACGGCUUUUCCCCAGUGUACACAGCUGGGGGAAUAAGGAGAGGGCAAGCCUGGUGUCAGCCGCCGCGGUAAUACCAGCUCUCCGAGUGGUGGGGACGCUUAUUGGGCCUAAAGCAUCCGUAGCCGGCUGGGCAAGUCCUCCGUUAAAUCCAACGAUUCAAUCGUUGGGCUGCGGGGGAUACUGUCCAGCUUGGGGGCGGGAGAGGCCGACGGUAUUCCCGGGGUAGGGGUGAAAUCCUAUAAUCCCGGGAGGACCACCAGCGGCGAAGGCUGUCGGCUAGAACGCGCCCGACGGUGAGGGAUGAAAGCUGGGGGAGCGAACCGGAUUAGAUA
rnacentral:rRNA from 1 species